GGAGGGUGCUAGCGUUGUUCGGAAUCACUGGGCGUAAAGCGCGUGUAGGCGGCCCACUAAGUCUGAUGUGAAAGCCCGGGGCUCACCCCCGGAAGUGCAUUGGAAACUGGUGGACUCGAGUCCCGGAGAGGAGGGUGGAAUUCCUGGUGUAGCGGUGAAAUGCGUAGAUAUCAGGAGGAACACCGGUGGCGAAGGCGGCCCUCUGGACGGUGACUGACGCUGAGACGCGAAAGCGUGGGGAGCAAACAGGAUUAGAUACCCUGGUAGUCCACGCCGUAAACGAUGAGCACUAGGUGUCGCGGGUAUUGACCCCUGCGGUGCCGACGCUAACGCAUUAAGUGCUCCGCCUGGGGACUACGGCCGCAAGGUUA
rnacentral:rRNA from 1 species